rnacentral:pre_miRNA from 1 species
ACACAAAUCACCUGGAGAUCUUACAAGUAUACGGAUCUGUUAGGUGGGUGAGGCAUGAGAGUCUGAAUUUCUAACAAGUUCUCAGGUGACAUUGAU